CCUACGGGGAGCAGCAGUGAGGAAUAUUGGUCAAUGGACGAGAGUCUGAACCAGCCAAGUAGCGUGAAGGAUGACUGCCCUAUGGGUUGUAAACUUCUUUUAUAAAGGAAUAAAACGAGGCACGUGUGCCUUUUUGCAUGUACUUUAUGAAUAAGGAUCGGCUAACUCAGUGCCAGCAGCCGCGGUAAUACGGAGGAUCCGAGCGUUAUACGGAUUUAUUGGGUUUAAAGGGAGCGUAGAUGGGUUGUUAAGUCAGUUGUGAAAGUUUGCGGCUCAACCGUAAAGUUGCAAUUGAUACUGGAAGUCUUGAGUGCAGUUGAGGAAAGCGGAAUUCGAGGUGUAGCGGUGAAAUGCUUAGAGAUAAGGAAGAACACCGAUUGCGAAGGCGACUUACUAAUCUGUAACUGACAUUGAUGCUCGAAAGUGUGGGUAUCAAACAGGAGUAGAUACCCGAGUAGUC
rnacentral:rRNA from 1 species